ensembl:snRNA U6 U6 spliceosomal RNA
AUGCUUACUUCAGCAGCACAUAUACUAAAACUGGAAUGAUACAGAGAAAAUUAGCAUGGCCCCUGCACAUGGAUGACACACAAAUUCAUGAAGCAUUCCAUAGUUUU